rnacentral:rRNA from 1 species
CACGUAGGGCGCAAGCGUUGUCCGGAAUUAUUGGGCGUAAAGAGCUCGUAGGCGGACUGUUGCGUCCGCUGUGAAAAGCUGGGGCUUAACCCUGGCCUUGCAGUGGAUACGGGCAGACUAGAGGUAGGUAGGGGAGAAUGGAAUUCCCGGUGUAGCGGUGAAAUGCGCAGAUAUCGGGAGGAACACCGGUGGCGAAGGCGGUUCUCUGGACCUUACCUGACGCUGAGGAGCGAAAGCGUGGGGAGCGAACAGG